rnacentral:rRNA from 1 species
CUAGUAGAGUGGCGCACGGGUGAGUAACGCGUAAGUAAUCUACCCUCGCAUCUGGGAUAACCCACCGAAAGGUGUGCUAAUACCUGAUACGUCUGGAAUUAUACUUUGAAUCUAGAGAAAGGUGGCCUCUUCAUGAAAGCUACUGUGCGGGGAGGAGCUUGCGUACCAUUAGCUAGUUGGUAGGGUAACGGCCUACCAAGGCGAUGAUGGUUAGCGGGUCUGAGAGGAUGAUCCGCCACACUGGAACUGAAACACGGACCAGACUCCUACGGGAGGCAGCAGUGAGGAAUAUUGCGCAAUGGGGGCAACCCUGACGCAGCGACGCCGCGUGGAUGAUGAAGGCCUUCGGGUUGUAAAAUCCUGUCAGAUGGGAAGAAGUGGUACAUAUCCAAUACGUAUGUACUUUGACGGUACCAUCAAAGGAAGCACCGGCUAACUCCGUGCCAGCAGCCGCGGUAAUACGGAGGGUGCAAGCGUUGUUCGGAAUUACU